GGUCGCUGAGGCAGCUGUGGGCCCGCAGGGCCUCGGCGAAGCUGAGAUAGAAGAAGCCGUCCUUGGACAUCACGUCUCCCAGGAGCCGCACGGCCGGCUGGCUCAGGUUCCCCUCCCCGAGGAGAACAACACAGUUGGUUUGAAUCAACAAAGAGCCCACACUGCAUCUGAGUGAUACUAUCUUUGUCAGUAAUUAUCACUUUCAGCUCAGUGGAUCUGAGGUCUGUGUUCCUAGAACUGGGAGAGUUGGGGGGAUCUGAUGAGACCCCACGGCCCCAGGCUUGGCCUGAGCCUGGCAGAGCGGCCCACCAGAUCUGAUCUCUGCCGCAAGGACAUUUCUGGACGUCAUGGGGCUGAACCAGGAUGGUGGCUACGGUGAGGUGCGGGCAGUGCCCAGGUGAGGCAGGAGUCCAAAGGGACCAGGGCUGAGGUGUGUGAGGACUGUGGGACAGACAGGCGCAGGGGCAGCUCGGGACAGUUAGGUCUGGGCGGUGUCCAUGAGCGGACCUGACUUGUGAGGGUGAGGCCACUCGUGCCUGGGACGUUCUGCAGAGCCGCUGGUCUGAAGGAAGACUUGGGCUUUUUUUGGCUGCGCCGUGCAGCAGUGUAACUUCCCUGACCAGGGAUUGAACCUGUGGCUCCUGCAGCAGAAGCAGAGUCUUAACCACCGGACCACUGAGGAAGUCGCAGGAGGGCAGACUUUGAAAGCACCCAGGCAAUUUCGAGGUUGACUGAAGACCUCAGGAGCGGUGGUGUGCCGGAGCCGGCUCACACCUUUUCACAAGAGCCAUUUAAUUUGCAGACCUUUUUGCGGUUUUGGUUUGUGAACCAUUAUUAAAAGAUGAAAACAUU